rnacentral:lncRNA from 1 species
GAAAAACUUUCCUUCAGAGGUAUGAGGCCAGUAUCUACCACCAUCGACUUCCACCUGGAGAGACAGAGAGGGAUGAUCAAGCUCAUGAUGCAUAAAUGUACUUAUGGAGAAGCUGAACUUGACCCAACAUGGCCUGUAUCACAGGGCUGUUAAAGGAGGAGGAAAUAUGUCAUCAGCCAUGCUAAAACCAUUGAAAUAUCUGGGAAAGAAAUCAUCCUUAAGUCUCAACAAAUCAUCUUUAUACAGCAAUGCGUGUUAAGAAUUAAUUUAAGAAAUGAUCCUCAAGAGGCCAGAUGUGAACACUGUGCCAUCCUAAUCUAUUUUUUCCUGACUAUUAGGUUGAUAAUGGGGAUUCCUUUGCACAGUCAUUAUGCAUUGUUGUCAGUCUUGAGCCAGUUUUAUGACCUGUGUCCAAGA